UACGUAGGGUGCGAGCGUUGUCCGGAUUUAUUGGGCGUAAAGGGCUCGUAGGCGGUUUGUCGCGUCGGGAGUGAAAACCAGGUGCUUAACACCUGGCUUGCUUUCGAUACGGGCAGACUAGAGGUAUUCAGGGGAGAACGGAAUUUCUGGUGUAGCGGUGAAAUGCGCAGAUAUCAGGAGGAACACCGGUGGCGAAGGCGGUUCUCUGGGAAUGACCUGACGCUGAGGAGCGAAAGUGUGGGGAGCGAACAGG
rnacentral:rRNA from 1 species